rnacentral:lncRNA from 1 species
AUUCUGUGUCUCCCCACAGAAGCACCUCGAGGGUAGGGGCUGUGUCUGAUUCCUCCUUUCCUCUCCAGUAUCUGGCACUAGGUCUACAGAGUCAGCUGUGAACCUGUAAUACUCAUUAUUAAAAGUAUUAAUACUUUUAAUACUCAUUAUUAAUACUAUUAAUAUUUUUAGUUCUCGUUAUUAGAAGUAUUAUCUUAGGCUAGUGUCCUUAAUCUCUUUUUCACCUGCCUCACAGCAUCCAUGGCCAUAGAAGCCUCCGAUUGAUCUCAAAGCCCCCCCAUCUGACUUUGUAUAGAUCUUCAAAGUCCCCCCAUCUGACUUUGUAUAGAUCUAAAGAUGCCACAGUGUGGGUAGGCUGCCAUGACCAGGGGACUCCCAACACACAGAAGACCACAGUCCUUUCCUUAGAUCAGCUUUAAUCAGAAGUUAGCUCAGAGGUGGAGCCAAAUGUGGAUAAGACAGCCCCACCUUCCAGGUUAAGACAGGUUUUACAUUUUGCUGACUGGUCUGCUCCUUGCUCCCUGGACGUGCUCGGUCCCCAGAGGGACACAGGGAGGGGUGAAGAAAACCUGACUUACUCGGGACCUGUUGGUGCCAACCUGAUCUUUGGAUACUCUGAGAACAGCUUAUAAUGUCCAUUUCUGAGUUAAAGUUUACAAUUAUAUAAAUAGCAAGAACAAAUUUUACUGCCUAUUCAGACUUGUAAUUAGAUUUUGCAAAGAAUUUGGGCAUCCCUCAAACAGGAAAGCUAUCAUUUUAUUGACUUACCGUGAAGUGAGAACAGUCUAUGACUAGGGUCAGGGGUCAGUAUCUCUUGGCAGAUUCCUCCCCUAGAAGCAACCUAUAGCAUCAGCCUAUCCACACACUUUAACAUUCCUAAAUCUAUACAAAAUUAGAUAGGGAGAGCAAGCUUCAAGAUUAAUAUAAAAAAAGGUAGGAAU